AAAGCCAGAGCCACCGAGAAAUUAACUAACCAGCCCAAGGACCGAUGACUUGUGCAUGAUGGCAUCAGGAUUUGAAUCCAGGUCUGAUUCUAAAGUUCCACUUUUAAGUACUCAGCCCUGCCACACCUUGAGGCGAACUUGCUGGUUCCUUGGUGAACAUGUUUCAACCUCUGACAUAUUGCAAGAAUACGGAAAGAUACUAUCCAGAGAUGAUAUUCAAAAUACUCCGCAACAGAAUGGAUAUUGACCUCUGCAUAGAGCACAGUCCUCAAGUCUGAGGGUCUGACACUGAGCUACUGAUUGAAAUGUUUGGAUUGAGGACCUUUACAAACGUAUCUGUUGGGCAGAUAACGUUGUCAAGACUUUAAGAUUGCCUUAAUUGGGGUCCUCUCCAAAGAAGACGCUGACCCAAGGGUUCAAGAGCAAGCACUUUGUUAAUGCAGGAACUCCCAGAAAUCCAGGUGGUGGGCACGAGAGAGGAAAAGCGAGGAAGCUAGGGAAGAUAUGCUCUCAGGCCAGUUUCUCAGACACAACUCUGGGAUCCACGGCUUCAGAAAUAUCCCGCCGGAGGGUGAGAGAGCCGGGGCACUUAUCCACCCUUUAUCAGCAGCCGUUGGUUGAGGCAUGUCAGGGGAGGGCACGUAGAGGAACGCUUUGGGCCUACUUUGGGCAUGCAAGGACAAAUGGGGCCUGUUGGAGGACAGGGGUGGACUUCACGGAGUCAGCUACACAAGCUUAUUUUUAUUUUCGAGUGGACAAAAUAGACCCAGGGGUCUCAGAGUAUAGCCUUUCCAGGUCCGAGAAGGGCCGCUCGUCUGGUGUGGAGGACACGAUGAGUCACUGCCCACUGGAAAAACAAAAGAACUUUUAACGGGCAGUUUGACCCCUGGUCAGAACAUCCCAGAUAGUUGAGUGAAGGGACAGAGCCUUUGGUAUUAAAUGCCUUGGAACCGAAAGGGCAGGGAGCCAGUGUUCUGGCUUUUGCACCAGAGAGGACAUGGAACGACUUAUUUUAACCGCUUGUCAGAGGCUCCAUGGGCGGCUCGUGCAUUCUGGAAUUUCUGAGAGAGACUUACCAAAUGCUUUCUGCUGAGGCUGACGAAGCCAAGCUGGGGCAUCUGCAUGCCAGGAAUAUAUGGUUGCAUAUGUGCCACUGUUUAUCUGUUUGCAAAAUAUGCCGUAUGUUGACAGCCUGACAUAUGUUGAGCUAUAUGGAAGAUCAGGCAGAGAGAAAGAAGAGCCAGAGGAUAAGAAAGAGAGGAGAAGGGAAGAUAUGAAAGGGAAAAUAAACCCUUGUGAGUUUGGCUCCUAAGGCGUGUAUCUCACAGUGGAAUGUAUGGAAAGGAUCUUGGCAAUGAUCUGGUCUGGUGCCCCCCGUUCCUAAAUGAAGAAACUGAAGCCAGCAUUCUCAUGGCCCAAUGACCAGAAAGGCAGGGGCAGGAGCCCCGGGGUUCUGCCUCCCUUCCUGGUCUCCUUGCAUUUUGGGCUUCUGUUUCUUUCACGCCCACAUGCUCACCCACCUGCCUCCUGUCUUCUGCCCCGUCUCCUCCUACCCAUCCAGUCCCUGUCCACUCUUCCGGGGCCUCGGUCUCCCCUCAUAUUUCUCUAUAAAAUUAUAAUCCACUUGCAUGCAGAGAUUCUUUCCUCUUUGACCCUCCUCAGUGCGUGUCAUAGAAGCUUCCACAUAGUAAUAAUAGUAGUUGGCAAUUAUUGAGUGUUUACUAUGUGUUAAGUACCACGUUUAAAGUUUGACAUGAAUCAGCUCAUUUACUUCUCCCAUUAACCCUGUGAAAUGAGUACCCACCAUUAGUCUUAUUUUAUACUCGAGGAACCUGUGGCACAGAAAGGUUAGGACACUUGCCUAAGAUAACACAGCUGGGAAGUCCGUCUCAGGGCUGCUAAUGCCAGACUUCCAGCUCAUACCCACAAGCCUAGACUUCCUUCCAAGGACCA